AAAUAUAAAAUAGCAUAAAUUGGAUGCAAUACAAAGUUUGGUAACCUAGAUGACAUUUUGCUAUAAGUUUCAGUUACUGGUAUUGGAUUUCCCAAGCCUGAAAACAUGAAAUUCUACAAAACAAACACCCUGCUUACUUUGCUGUUGCUUGUGUUUGUGUUUGUGAUGGGUUGUCAUGUGCAGGAAAGCAAUGGACAGAUGAGUUGUGGCAGCAGUUACUUCUCAAUGCUUGUUCAGCUGAUACCUUGCAGGGCCUCAGUGAUUCCAUUGAUACACAUGCCUCCAACCGAGGCUUGCUGUGCUGCCAUUAAAGCUCUAGGUCAGCCUUGUCUCUGUGCACUUUUGAAUGGACCGACCAUUUCAGGGGUCGACCGGAAAAUGGCCGUUCAGCUUCCUGAUAAGUGCAUGGCCUACUUUGAACCAUGUAAAUACUCUUUCUCUCAGUUCCAUUGUAUUGCCUCUAUUCAUAUCUUUUUCUUUUCGUAUGUCCUUGCUUGGAGGAAAAAUGAUCUCUUGUUGGAAUUUAGCAUUGUUCUAUAUAAUAUCUAAAGGCAAGGAUUUAGCAGUUAAUAUCUACCUGUCAAUUAACAAAUGCUAUGAAAUGAUAAUGGCUUACCAACUGUAGAUUUAAACUGGCCGUAGACUAGUCAAUUCUUUUUCCUUCUUCUUGCUAUUGGCAUAUAUAUGUAAAAUGAGUUAUGUUUGUCCUUUUCUUUAUGCAGGUCAAAUUACGAAGUAAACUGCAAAAAGCAUUGGAACAAGUUCAUGAAUAAGUGUGUGGAGGGCUACUAAUGAGCCUUAUGUAGUUUUCUUUAUCUAGUAAUCAUGUAACAGAUAAAUUUGUAUUAAAAACCAGAGUCAAAUCCCAGAAGCUUCGUGUUAAUUAAUGUGUGGAUUUUUCUAGUGUAUGUUGUUCUCUUUUCUUUCUUGGAGAUAUAUGAUAGCGAAUAUUUCCUCAACGUUCAAAUUGCCCUAAAGGAAAAUUCUAUUAUUUAGCAUCUGUUUGGUCUCUUUUAAAAUUCAUUAAAUUGUUUUUCCUGUUACUUUUCAACCCUCCUUUUUUGACACAAGUGGGGCCCAAAUCUGUCACUUUUUUCGUCCAUUGACAUUAAUUUAUUUUAGUCAAACGGACCGUUGAGAUAGCUGGACAAAAUCGUUGUCUAACAUCAAUGAUAGAAGACAAAAUUAUCCCUCGUUCAAUUAUCCUUAUCCGCAUUUUCAUUGGUUAGUGGUUGUGAGGGUAUUAUCGUCAUUUAGGGAUAUAAAGUGAAGUGUACCCUCCAUUAUUAAUGAAAACCUUUCAUUUUCAUGGUACACAUAUGUUCUGAACAACGUGACACAUGGGGUUCGCUUUUGUUUGAAAAAUUGGCAAAUAAUGCGAAUUAAUGAGUUUUAAUGUAGCCAAACGGGAGCUUAAAUUGAAAACAAAAUUUGUGAUUUUACAAGAGAAAGAUGUCUCAUUUACCAUACAACACUUUGUCACCUACCCACUGCCAAAAACUAGCUCUGUUAAUACGCAACAAAUACAACGAGUCUUGUCUCUAGUACAUAGAUUUGUACAAGUAGAUGGAAAAUAUAAAUCAACAUUCUUAACACUCCGGAUGGUGGAUAAACAUCUUGCUUUCCAAGCUUGACAACAAUAAGAUACUUGGCAAUCCUUUUGUGAGCACGUCUGCAAGUUGUUUACAAGAGGAUCCAUAGUGAAUACGAUUUUUCCCCCCAAUUCAAGUUUGAAAGGUGUACAACUUUCACAUGCUCGGUCCAGUCGCGAUGAACUAGAUUAUGGACUAUAUAUAGAGUAGAUUUGUUAUCACAAUGCAACAUCAUUGGUUCUUUCACUUCCACCAUUAAAUCUAGGAGAAUGAUUUCAACCAUAGCCCAGUAUUCUGUCUCUGCAUUAGAGCGGGCAACCGAUUGUUUCUUGCUUCCCAUGUAACUAAUUUUUUUUUCCCAAGAAGGUACAAUAACUAGUACUUGACCUUCAAUUGACAAUGAAUUUUGCCAAUCAAAAUCUCCAUUAUUAUUCUCUUGAAAUAGAAACCCUUGUCUGGUGUGCCUUCUAAGUAUCUAACAUUCCAUAAGCUGAUGAUAAAUGAGAGAAGCAUGCACGAAUUGACUUAUAAUACUUACAACAUAGGCUAUACUUUACUUUGUAUGUGACAAAUAACUUAACUUUUCAGAUACGUCUUCGAUGAACUAUCUCUUUUCAUCCUUCUUUCCAUACAACUUGUCAUUUGGAGGACUAGUCUUGAGAUUUUGAGAGCCCUGUUUGAUAUUUAAAAAAUACAUACCAAUAAAAUUACUUCGUUGCAAAAUUACGACAUCUAUAUAUUUGUUUAUUUUUUACACGUCGUAAAUUAGAAAAGUACAAGCAGCCAUGUUGUUGAUAUGCUCACAAUCCAUUGCAUGUUCCUUAAGCCUGGCACUAAGAUGUUCCCAGUCACUAAUCCUUUAUUUAUUAAUAAACCUUUUUAAAUAACUUGCAAUAAAAACAAAAAACUCUAUCAAGAUCAUUUGAAUACAUCGCCAUGGCCUAUCACGUUUCUCACCAUUUGAUAAAUCACGAGUUUAAUAGAUUGUAGAGAAACAUCUAGAUAAAUUAUCUUUAGGACCCUUUUCUAGUGAAAGAUCUCUCGUAGGACCAUUUAUCACCCAUGGAUCUUUAGAUUAUGUCAAGAUUAUCCCAAGUUAUUAGAUCAUUGAUGUCGAAGGGAAUAGACUUAUUAUGAAUUAAAUCAUCUACAUCAGGGGCGGAUCCACAAGAGUUCAUGUGGGGUCAAAUGACCCCACAAUUUUUUUCUCAGAAAACAGUUGUUUUAACCCAUUUGCGACCUACUUUAAUACAUGUCAAAUGAAGUCGAGAUAUUGUAUUUUUAAUACUAUUUUGAAAUGCUCAUAACUUAAUUUUUUUGCUCCUAAAUGGCAUGCAAAAUGAUCGAUCAUAACAAAAGUUACGAUGCAUCAAAGUAGGCCAUUCUAGAUUAGCAUUUUGAAAAUUUCGAUAAUAUGCUAAAUUUUAAAAUUUGUCGAUGAUCGUAUACAAUCCAAAUCCACAAAUUGUCACGUCAUCUAGAAACUCGUUUCGAGACUACAUCGCAGUCAUAUCAAAUGGUCCAAACAGAUACUAAAAAUAGUUAGAUAUGCGUCAAACGUACGUGCUAAAAUACGCGUUUAACUCGUCUUCUCUUUCAAAAAUUUCAAUUUAUUAUGUUAGUUAUUUGUUUCUUGCACUUGAAAGUAGAAAAGAAUAAUGUACACAAACUGUAAUUUGAAAGGAUUCUCAGAUGUAGAACUUACAUUGUCAUUAGCAAAUCAAAAAAGAAUGUCAAUAAUUUACAUAACAAGACGAGUGAAUCAAGAAAUUGUAGACUGACUAAAGGUUUUAUGAACAAGUGUUUAUCCUCCAUAUUCUUGAGCCAUCCCAAAACUCAUCGAAGUACGGAAUAUCUGUAAGAAGGAAAUGAAUGAAAACGUUGAAGUACAAAUGUUAACCCUUUACUUACCCACUAUGACUUAGAAAAUCUUCACUUUCAUAUUUUCUUAGCUUCUCUAAAUCCAUUAAUAUCAAAUUCAGUUUGCAUUUGCAUCUCUACGAUUUCUUCUUGAACGUCCUAAAAGGACGCUAGACGGCUAGUCAGUGACAUGUAAGAGUUACCGUCAUCUUCAUUAUAAUCAUCGUCAUCUUGAUCAAAUUAAUCAAAACACCUCUACUAAAUGCAUGGUAAGAAUAAAGAACCUCUCUGCGAUCUUCUACCAGUAGAACCGAGUGCCUCCAAAAAGGAAAGAACCGCAUUAAAUUGUGAUCAAUUCCCUCCUCGAAGCCCUCCUCUUGCUGAACUCCAUCUCAUCAUAAAGCUCCUCUUCGCCUGAAUUGAACCAAUAUUGACUUCCUUCAAUCAUACAAUCACCAAAGAACACAGCUCCUGGCACUGAUGACCUUAUUGUGCUCAUGGCAUCUUGCGUCUCUCUCUCACGCUCCAUCCUUCUCCACUUCUGUUCUAGAACACGAUCCAACUCACGUGGCUUAGCGGAAGCAUGCUCUAACCUCACAUGCUUCCGCAACUCUUUCUAUGUUCCAACAAACGAGCAGUUAUCUUGCAUGCAGCUCCGUUGGCAUUGAGAUGUUCUCGUGCAGGCUUGACGACAAUCCAUCCCUUCACCUGGCUACGACAAAGGGGACAUGCAAGUUCCUUAACCUCACAAUUCUCAACACUCCUGUCAGAUAAUGGACCCCAGACUUGACUAUGGAGUGAAUCAUGGCCAAGUGGACGGGUUUCCGAAGGAGUUAUUUUUGUGUAGGCUUUCUAAAAGAUUCAAUACUUAAAUGUUUCUUUUCUUUUCUUUUUUUAAGAAAUAAUGAAGUUGGACUCAACUAACCUUUAGAGGGGAUGAAAGGUGUAAUACUGUUGACACACUAAAAGUGCAGCCCAAAUUAAAUAGCUCAAAGAGUGAAGCCCAAUUGGGGAGUCCAGGAUAAAGGUCCAAACAUGAUUAUUGAUGAAUGCAGUGGAAGCCCACGAACACAGUAACAUCAUCGCCCAAGCUUGCAAGACGUCCAGAAUCUGAGCAAAUGGAGUGCCUUAUGAUCGUCCAGAGCGAUGACCCCGUUCUCGUCUAAACUUUCGAGUCGCUCAGGAUAUUAGCAAAUAUAAAAUAUUAUGGUUAUCCAGAAUAGCAGUUAUUGAGUAAUCUUAUCACAUUCCACGAUUCAACGAGCCCAGUUGAAGGCGGUUGAAAGACAAAGAGUAAUGACAGCAGUUAGAGACGGCGGUUCUACGACAAGUUAGCCACCAUAAAGAAAGUGGGUAGUUAAAAAGCAAUCAAGCAGUUUUCAAGCGGUUUGUCACGAGGAAAUCAUCAAUUCAAACAGGAAAGCAGGUAGGAUUCCCCCAGUUCUGACUAUUGUUAAAAUCAGAUGAUUUUAAUUUCUAACGAUUUACUUGUUGGAUUAAGCUGGCUGUUUUGUUGUUUAUUCUGUUAUCAAUGAAAUUGCCUACAUAUCAGAAGAUAAUUUGGUUAUGAUUAUAUUAUGGGUUCAAUUUGGCAGUUUUAUUGUUCAUUCCCUUAUUGGUCAUAUAAUUGGCUAUAUAUGAGAAGAUAAUUUGGUUAAUUAUAUUUUGCCCUAUCAUAUCCUCAAUAAUACAACAGAAAAUAAUUUGGUUUUCUUAUCGUGGGUUUAUCUGGCUGUUUUGUUGGUCAUAUAUGAGAAGAUAAUUUUGUUAAAUUAUUUUAGCCUCCAAUCAUACCCUCAAUUAUACAGCGGAAGACUUGCAUGUACUAGAUGUCAGUUAAAAUGUCAUUUUUUGGGAUCAUGUAUGUUCAGUGUUCUGUUUCCUUGUGAUUAGAUUAGUACAGAAACAGAAAUAAUGUUUUGACAAAAAAAUUUUCUCACCUUUUUUCCUCUUUGGUUUCCAAUCCAACUGUUGAAAAAGAAUUUGUGAAUUUUAGUUUUCUUUCGUUUUUGUUGCACUGAUGAAGUCUUUAUCAGUGGAGAUAAUCGAUGCUCUUUUGAGGCCCUCACUUUGUACUAAUAUAUAUGCAGAUAGAGUGGUUGACUGGAGGAGACUGCAUAGCUGGCAUGCACGAGGUUGUUGUGACUAACCGGACGACUGAUGCAAUCAAACUAGCCUUGGAGCAAAACCGCAGCCUGUGGAGAGUGUCCUCAACGGUGAGUUAGUUAAGCAAUUAGGUUGCAAUCAUUUUGAUUCUUCUCAUUUAUUGCAUUGUUGUUUAUCAUGGUCAACAUGACUUUAAUUGUUAUUAUUUGACUUUUCUCUUGAUCUUUUGUAGCUUUUUGCACACAUAGCAUCAGAUGCUGUGUUAAAACCUCUAGGCCACUUCGUGGAAUCCCCCCUUGCCCGCAAGUAUCCUCCCAUGCAUGCUGGAGACUUUGUCGAACAAGAGCUUUCUGUCAUUAAUCUCAAAGGCAGUAAAGGCGACCUUUGAUAACUUUUAACAACUUGAAUGCGGUUCAUUUAAUGUCAAUAACACUUGGAGAUUCAAAUAUUUGGUGGGCAGAUAGCAGGAAUGCUGGAUUUGAUCUAGUCAUUCAAUUUCUUAGUUUCCCUAAAUUGUUUAUAAGACACUGUAUGAAUUUGUGCUCAAUUAAUUUUACUCCAAGACAAUUGUUGUGAACAAUUUAUUAUUUUUGUUUCCAAUGUUGAAAUGCUGAUCCUAUCUUCUUACCUGAUUUGUGCGUAGUUUAUUCCAUUACAAUGCAAAACUGAUAAAUAACACUGCAUUCGCCUAGUCAGCAGGUCAAAAUGUAUAUUUUAGUCUCUAAUCUACAGGUGGUGUACAUAUUGACAGUAAGCUGCAAAUUGGAAUUUUCUCCAGAAAUCAUUGACCCUUUUGUAUAGGAGGGCCAUUUCAUGAAAUCUGGGUGUCGUAACUGCAUGGAAAGGUGCCAAAUUCAUGUCAACGCUGUAGAGCAGAGUUAGCUAGCUCUUACAGGUAACAUGAAUCAAGUGUGACAAAGUGUUGGGGUACGAAAUAUAAAAUAGCAUAAAUUGGAUGCAAUACAAAGUUUGGUAACCUAGAUGACAUUUUGCUAUAAGUUUCAGUUACUGGUAUUGGAUUUCCCAAGCCUGAAAACAUGAAAUUCUACAAAACAAACACCCUGCUUACUUUGCUGUUGCUUGUGUUUGUGUUUGUGAUGGGUUGUCAUGUGCAGGAAAGCAAUGGACAGAUGAGUUGUGGCAGCAGUUACUUCUCAAUGCUUGUUCAGCUGAUACCUUGCAGGGCCUCAGUGAUUCCAUUGAUACACAUGCCUCCAACCGAGGCUUGCUGUGCUGCCAUUAAAGCUCUAGGUCAGCCUUGUCUCUGUGCACUUUUGAAUGGACCGACCAUUUCAGGGGUCGACCGGAAAAUGGCCGUUCAGCUUCCUGAUAAGUGCAUGGCCUACUUUGAACCAUGUAAAUACUCUUUCUCUCAGUUCCAUUGUAUUGCCUCUAUUCAUAUCUUUUUCUUUUCGUAUGUCCUUGCUUGGAGGAAAAAUGAUCUCUUGUUGGAAUUUAGCAUUGUUCUAUAUAAUAUCUAAAGGCAAGGAUUUAGCAGUUAAUAUCUACCUGUCAAUUAACAAAUGCUAUGAAAUGAUAAUGGCUUACCAACUGUAGAUUUAAACUGGCCGUAGACUAGUCAAUUCUUUUUCCUUCUUCUUGCUAUUGGCAUAUAUAUGUAAAAUGAGUUAUGUUUGUCCUUUUCUUUAUGCAGGUCAAAUUACGAAGUAAACUGCAAAAAGCAUUGGAACAAGUUCAUGAAUAAGUGUGUGGAGGGCUACUAAUGAGCCUUAUGUAGUUUUCUUUAUCU
rnacentral:lncRNA from 1 species